rnacentral:lncRNA from 1 species
GGGGGUAUGAAAUUUACCUCGAUCGGCAGUCGGAAAUCUCCCCGGUGCGGCGGCGGGUGGCGGCGGCUGGCGUCUGGUUCAUCUUCUCCGGCGAGGGCAGGCGGCUAGGGUUUUUGUGGUCAGGUGUGGGGGUUCUAUUUAUACCCUUUUGCCUUUUGAUCUCAACCAUCCAUUUUGAUUUAAUCGUGGCCAUCUGUUUUUGAUUGAAUCUAGGCCGUUCGUACGAUUGCAUCUGGGCCGUC